rnacentral:sRNA from 1 species
AUUGAUGUUGUUGUUAUGCCUCCUCCAGACAGAAUCAUGCCGGGAAGACCAAAGAACAAUGACAGAAUCCGUGAUCCAACUGAAGAUCGUCCACCUCAAAAAGUUCCUUCUACACGUGAAAAACUUCAAAUGGUAAAAUAGAGAACAAUGAAUUAUGUUUCACAAGAUCUUCCUUUUCAAAUUAUUUAAUUUAAUCUUUGCAUAUUUAGACUUGCAGCAACUGUCAACAAAUCGGACACAACAAACGUUCAUGCAAGCGUAAAGCAGUGCCAAAACCAUCCAAGAAACCUCAAGGACGACCAAGGAAAAAACAGAAAACAAUGGCUGAAGAGAACCCUAUCACUCAGCCAAUACAAUCUUCUCUUCAAAGUUAAUGCUUGACAAGUCUUUACUUCAGAAUAUCUUGUCCCUCUGAAACGAUUGUUUUUUUUUGUGACAAAUAUUGUUGUGUUGCAACAGUUUCGAUAGUUAUGUUGGUUGGAUUUAUUUAAGCAUGACUCUUUGGAUUAUUUUAAGUUGUUGUGUCUUUCUUUCAACUUCUAAAAUCCAAACUAAUUAAGCAAUUCAAAAUCAUCUAGAACACUAAACGUUUUUUUGUAAUAAAUUCAAAACAGUUUUAAAGAACAUCAUGUGGUUUUUGCGCUAAAUACAAAUGUCUCGUUGUUGUUUUUUUUGGAAAUUAAUAUCCCAUUAAUAUUUAAUUACUGUGGGGUUAAGUUUAUUAACAGGUUUUAGUUCAGGGUUUGUUUUACUAAAAACAUAGUUUAGGGUUUAAAAAUGGAUCUGGCCAAAGUUGAGGGUUUUUUUCAUUUGCACUCCACCUGACUUUUACAAAAAUAUUUGUCAUAUUUUAGGGUUCUUUUAUUAAUAUUUGAGGUUCUCUUGUUUUAAUGCCUAAAAUUAUAACUAUUUU